UAACUGGAGAGUUUGAUCCUGGCUCAGAACGAACGCUGGCGGCGUGCCUAACACAUGCAAGUCGAACGAGAAAGUUUCCUUCGGGAAAUGAGUAGAGUGGCGCACGGGUGAGUAACACGUGGAUAAUCUGCCUGAUAAUCUGGGAUAACAUUUCGAAAGAAGUGCUAAUACCGGAUAAGCCCACAGUAUCUUCGGGUACAGCGGGAAAAGAUGGCCUCUUCUUGAAAGCUAUUGUUAUCAGAUGAGUCCGCGGUCCAUUAGCUAGUUGGUGGGGUAAUGGCCCACCAAGGCGACGAUGGAUAGCUGGUUUGAGAGAAUGAUCAGCCACACUGGAACUGAGACACGGUCCAGACUCCUACGGGAGGCAGCAGUGGGGAAUCUUGCGCAAUGGGGGCAACCCUGACGCAGCAACGCCGCGGAGUAUAAGUUCACAGUUUUNNNCGG
rnacentral:ncRNA from 1 species